UACAGAGGUCCCGAGCGUUGUUCGGAUUCACUGGGCGUAAAGGGUGCGUAGGUGGUGAGGUAAGUCGGAUGUGAAAUCUCCGGGCUCAACCCGGAAAUGGCAUUGGAAACUACCUUGCUGGAGGAUUUGAGGGGGGAUUGGAAUACUUGGUGUAGCAGUGAAAUGCGUAGAUAUCAAGUGGAACACCCGUGGCGAAGGCGGCUCUCUGGGACGGUACUGACGCUGAGACGCGAAAGCGUGGGGAGCGAACAGG
rnacentral:rRNA from 1 species